GGGUCAUCAAAUAGCAACACCACCAUGGAUUUCUCUGCCACGAGCAGCAGUGCAGGGAAAAGUCAAUUCUCUGCUGCAGUUAGUGAAGUGAAUGAAGAGACAAAUCCAAACGGUCAAAUAUUGGAAGCACCAAACUUGAAGGAGUUCACCUUUGCUGAUUUGAAGAGUGCCACAAAGAAUUUCAGACCAGACACUUUGUUGGGUGAAGGUGGUU
rnacentral:misc_RNA from 1 species